AUACGGAGGGGGCUAGCGUUGUUCGGAAUUACUGGGCGUAAAGCGCGCGUAGGCGGAUUGAUCAGUCAGGGGUGAAAUCCCGGAGCUUAACUCCGGAACUGCCUUUGAUACUGUCAAUCUUGAGUUCGAGAGAGGUGAGUGGAAUUCCUAGUGUAGAGGUGAAAUUCGUAGAUAUUAGGAAGAACACCAGUGGCGAAGGCGGCUUACUGGCUCGAUACUGACGCUGAGGUGCGAAAGCGUGGGGAGCAAACAGGAUUAGAUACCCUAGUAGUCC
rnacentral:rRNA from 1 species